GAUGAACGCUGGCGGCGUGCCUAAUACAUGCCAGUCGAGCGAACGGACGAGAAGCUUGCUUCUCUGAUGUUAGCGGCGGACGGGUGAGUAACACGUGGAUAACCUACCUAUAAGACUGGGAUAACUUCGGGAAACCGUAGCUAAUACCGGAUAAUAUUUUGAACCGCAUGGUUCAAAAGUGAAAGACGGUCUUGCUGUCACUUAUAGAUGGAUCCGCGCUGCAUUAGCUAGUUGGUAAGGUAACGGCUUACCAAGGCAACGAUGCAUAGCCGACCUGAGAGGGUGAUCGGCCACACUGGAGCUGAGACACGGUCCAGACUCCUACGGGAGGCAGCAGUAGGGAAUCUUCCGCAAUGGGCGAAAGCCUGACGGAGCAACGCCACGUGAGUGAUGAAGGUCUUCGGAUCGUAAAACUCUGUUAUUAGGGAAGAACAUAUGUGUAAGUAACUGUGCACAUCUUGACGGUACCUAAUCAGAAAGCCACGGCUAACUACGUG
rnacentral:rRNA from 1 species